GAUGAACGCUGGCGGCGUGCCUAAUACAUGCAAGUCGAGCGAACGGAUAAGGAGCUUGCUCCUUUGAAGUUAGCGGCGGACGGGUGAGUAACACGUGGGUAACCUACCUAUAAGACUGGAAUAACUUCGGGAAACCGGAGCUAAUGCCGGAUAACAUCUGGAACUGCAUGGUUCUAAAGUAAAAGAUGGUUUUGCUAUCACUUAUAGAUGGACCCGCGCCGUAUUAGCUAGUUGGUAAGGUAUCGGCUUACCAAGGCAACGAUACGUAGCCGACCUGGGAGGGUGAUCGGCCACACUGGAACAGAGACACGGUCCAGACUCCUACGGGAGGCAGCAGUAGGGAAUCUUCCGCAAUGGACGAAAGUCUGACGGAGCAACGCCGCGUGAGUGAUGAAGGUUUUCGGAUCGUAAAACUCUGUUAUUAGGGAAGAACAAAUGUGUAAGUAACUGUGCACAUCUUGACGGUACCUAAUCAGAAAGCCACGGCUAACUACGUGCCAGCAGCCGCCGUAA
rnacentral:rRNA from 1 species